UGGGGAAUUUUGGACAAUGGGGGCAACCCUGAUCCAGCAAUGCCGCGUGAGUGAAGAAGGCCUUCGGGUUGUAAAGCUCUUUUGUCAGGGAAGAAACGGUAGUAGCGAAUAACUAUUACUAAUGACGGUACCUGAAGAAUAAGCACCGGCUAACUACGUGCCAGCAGCCGCGGUAAUACGUGGGGUGCAAGCGUUAAUCGGAAUUACUGGGCGUAAAGCGUGCGCAGGCGGUUGUGUAAGUCAGAUGUGAAAUCCCCGGGCUCAACCUGGGAAUUGCAUUUGAGACUGCACGGCUAGAGUGUGUCAGAGGGGGGUAGAAUUCCACGUGUAGCAGUGAAAUGCGUAGAUAUGUGGAGGAAUACCGAUGGCGAAGGCAGCCCCCUGGGAUAACACUGACGCCCAUGCACGAAAGCGUGGGGAGCAAACAGGAUUAGAUACCCUUGUAGUCCCUGAGCGGGCUGGCAAGGCGCAU
rnacentral:rRNA from 1 species